AGUACAACGCCUUAAAAUGGAUUAAAAGCUAUAUGACAAAUAGGAGACAAUAUGAUGACUGAAGAACACACAUCAAAAUGCCAAACCAUACAAUGUGGUGUUCCACAGGGUUCAAUUUUAGGGCCAAAACUGUUCAUUCUAUACAUAAACGACAUUUUCAAAGUCUCAAAUUGCCUCAAACUAACGUUGUUUGCAGAUGACACAACCAUCCUAUGCUCAGGUAAAAACAUUAAAACUCUAAUAGAGUCAACAAAUGAAGAACUAUCAAAAAUUCAAACAUGGUUAGAUGUAAAUAAACUAGCCCUAAACGUCAGUAAAACAAAAUUCAUUAACUUCGGAAAGAGAAAAAAAACAGUAGAUAUAAGACUGAAACUAAACAUGGAAAUAAUAGAACAAGUAAAAGAAUAUAGGGUACUAGGAGUGUGGAUGGACGACAAGCUGACCUGGAAAAAACAUAUACAAAUAGUCAAAAACAAAGUUGCCAAAAGCAGUUACAUCCUAUGGAAGCUUCAACAAAUCCUACAUACCAAAUCACUUAAAACAAUCUAUUCUUCACUCAUAGCAUCGCACUUAAAUUACUGCUCCGAAAUAUGGGGUAAUAACUACAAAACGUAUCUUGAACCACUAUUUAAACAACAAAAAAAAGCUAUAAGAAUUUUACCUAAAGUACCACACAACACACACACAAACGAUUUAUUUGAGAAGUCAAAAUACCUAAAACUGCAAGAAAUAAUACACUACAACACACAAAUACACGCAUUUAGGGCUUCAUCAAAAAUACUACCACAUCAAAUACAAAAACGCUUCACAUACAAUCAAAAUCCCUAUGAAUUCAGACAUAAUAAUGUGUUUAGACCAAACAGGGUUAAAUCUAACGUUGGCAAACAUAGUACUGUGUAUAGAGCCAUGAACCUCUGGAAUAGCCUUGACGCAGAGACACAACAGUCUGAUAAUCUGAAACAAUUUAAGGAGAAAACGAGGAGUACAUUUCUACAUGCAUACAGAUCUCAAGUCAACUCUCCUUUGAACUCUACAGCGACGACAUGGAACUCAUCAACUGGUCAUUGAGCGCCAUUGACAAAAUUUUCCCAACGAGGCAAUUGCUUCAGCACGAAAUACCGUGUCCAAAGGACACAUACCCAGGUAGAUAUGUCAUGGAUGCACGAGGGAGAAGCCAGAUGCUCUGUCUCUCCCAGCUGACAGUAGAAGAUGUGGAGGACAUCUAUCUGCUAGGAGUCAUGAUCUUUGGCCUGCUAAUGAUGGGGGUAUGUGUCUGUGCAUGUGCCUUCCGGAUGGAUCGUAAGCUGAGGCGACUCUCAGAGGAUAUGAAGGUUCUCCGAAAUCAGAAGAACUUUUCGUUUGGAGAGUUGGAGGAACGUAAACAACGACUGGAAAAGAAAGCUCGAGGAGAUACGGAGAAAAAGGACAGUGAAGAGGAGUAACAGCAGGAACAAUGACUGCAGACGAGAACACAUCACAUAAAAAAGGACAAAAAAAAAAAAAAAAAAAAAAAAGGGAAGAAAC
rnacentral:lncRNA from 1 species